GAGGGUAUAGUUUUAAUAGGUAAAAUAUCAUUUUGUCAAGAUGAUUGUUGCGGGUUCGAGCCCCGUUGCUCUCG
rnacentral:tRNA from 1 species